rnacentral:rRNA from 1 species
GACGAACGCUGGCGGCGUGCUUAACACAUGCAAGUCGAACGGAAAGGCCCCUUUGGGGGUCCUCGAGUGGCGAACGGGUGAGUAACACGUGAGUAACCUGCCCUUGACUUCGGGAUAACUUCAGGAAACUGGGGCUAAUACCGGAUAGGAAUCCUUGCUGCAUGGUGGGGGUUGGAAAGCUUCGGCGGUUUUGGAUGGACUCGCGGCUUAUCAGCUUGUUGGUGGGGUAGUGGCUUACCAAGGCUUUGACGGGUAGCCGGCCUGAGAGGGCGACCGGCCACAUUGGGACUGAGAUACGGCCCAGACUCCUACGGGAGGCAGCAGUGGGGAAUAUUGCACAAUGGGCGGAAGCCUGAUGCAGCAGCGCCGCGGGCGGGAUGACGGCCUUCGGGUUGUAAACCGCUUUCAGCAGGGGCGAAGCUUGUGGUGACGGUACCUGCAGAAGAAGCACCGGCUAACUACGUG